rnacentral:rRNA from 1 species
GACGAACGCUGGCGGCGUGCUUAACACAUGCAAGUCGAACGGAAAGGCCCUGCUUUUGUGGGGUGCUCGAGUGGCGAACGGGUGAGUAACACGUGAGUAACCUGUCCUUGACUUUGGGAUAACUUCAGGAAACUGGGGCUAAUACCGGAUAGGAGCUCCUGCUGCAUGGUGGGGGUUGGAAAGUUUCGGCGGUUGGGGAUGGACUCGCGGCUUAUCAGCUUGUUGGUGGGGUAGUGGCUUACCGAGGCUUUGACGGGUAGCCGGCCUGAGAGGGUGACCGGCCACAUUGGGACUGAGAUACGGCCCAGACUCCUACGGGAGGCAGCAGUGGGGAAUAUUGCACAAUGGGCGGAAGCCUGAUGCAGCAACGCCGCGUGCGGGAUGACGGCCUUCGGGUUGUAAACCGCUUUCGCCUGUGACGAAGCGUGAGUGACGGUAAUGGGUAAAGAAGCACCGGCUAACUACGUG